CUGUCCUCUGCUCCCCUGUAGAUACCUCACAAAGAGGCCCUGCUGAGCAGUUCAGUUUCCAGUGGUGCAAAUAAAUAAAGUGGUUGGUGUUUCAGAUAAAAGAGGAGAGAUUCCCAGCCUCCCCACUCCCAGGGGAGCGCUGAAAUCUCCUGCACUGCUGCUUCUCACUGGGGGAUGGCUUACAGAACAGCCCCUUCUGGAAGACCCCCACCCCUCCUGCCUUUAACUCCAAGGACCCUGAGAUCCUGUGCUGAUGAAACAGACUUGUGAAUAUGGCUCCUGAUCCACAGGAUGCAACCUGAACCACAGAAAAUGCUGAGUUCUCCAGAGGCUGUCUUCGUGCCCUGCCUGUUUCCCUUAAGUGUUCAAUGUGUGCUGAUGGCUUCCUGCUGUGAGGGCCUGAGACUGUCCCUGGAGAGCUUCCUAAGAAACAUCAGGGUUCUCACUCAGGGCGGGCAGGAAGCGCUGAGGAGCUGAUGCCUUAAGAACGACCUUCAGCCAAUGAUGGGAAGGACUGAAGGUUGAGCGCAGCAGACUCCUUCCCUCAGGAGGCACAGCUCUGUGGCCUGGGCUCCACAGGGUCCUCUGGAGUUCUGCCUGAGCCCCGCUGUCCACAGCAGUGAUUGGCUCUUUAAUAAGCAGUGUCUUCUCUCUCCUCCCUCUGCCUCUUCACCCUUCUCAACUGCGCUUUCUGGGUUCAUCUCCUGAAUAAAC
rnacentral:lncRNA from 1 species